GUCUGUGCUGGGUCUUCGUUGUUGCUCGGGCUUUUCUCUAGUUGUGGUGAGCAGGGGCUUCUCUUGUUGUGGAGCAUGGGCUCUAGAGCACUGGCUUAAUAGUUGUGACCAGGGGCUUAGUUGCCCUGCGGCACAUGGGACCUUUCUGGACCAGGGAUGGGACCUUCCUGGACCAGGGAUGGGACCUUCCUGGACCAGGGAUCGAACCCAUGUCUCCUGCAUUGGUAGGUGGAUUCUUUACCACUGAGCCACCAGGGAAGCCCUACUCCUAUUAUCUUUGCGCUACUUCGUUCUUUCGUUCAAAACACUCUCUGCAUCAUGAGGGAGUGUUUGUGGAUGGCUUUUGCACCUCCAGCCUCUUUGCAGUUACCCUAACUCAGUAUGUAGUUGUGGCCUCCCCUGCUGACCCCAAGGUAUGAUGGUCCCUCCUCCCUCCCUGGCACUGCCCUCAUGCUCUGUCGAGGCAGGGGCCACUCUGCCACACCUCUCUGCUCAAUGUUGCACCUAACCCACCAGGCUGGUCCACCCCUGCUGCCCACCCACUGCACAGGCUGGCAGGUGGGAGCUCUGCCCUAGUGGUACCAGCUGCCAUAUCAACCUAACCCAUCAAGAGCUGUCUGGGAUGGGGCCAGCGGCAGGCUGAGCCCAGGGCGCCUGCCGCCUCAGACAGUGAUCCCUGUGCCUGCAUGCCUCGCUCCAUCCAGGGCUGGAGGAUCACGAUGCUGGAGCAGCCAGGUACUGCUUUGGACCCUGCUGCUUUCUGGAGUCACACCUUUCUGCUCAUGGUGCAUUGGUAGCCAGGCAGGCACCAACUAUAGAAGCCCCGCGCAGCUUCUGUAGUGAUCCCACAGCGAGCCCUCCCCCAAGCAAGUGACUGUUGAUGAGCAAGGGUCAACCCGUGACCGUUAGUGGUUCAGCUCUGCUAUUGGUCAGUAUCACAGUGGGUCCCUCCCCCUCCCCCAUAUACUAAAGGAGCCUGAAUUUGGACUGAGGGAAGAUAGUUUUUGAGAAGCUACUCUGCCAUCUCCCUUGGCUAGCUUUCUGAUUAAAGUCGUUAUUCCUUAUUCCAACAACUCCUCUCCUGAUUUGUUAGCCUGUUGGGCGGUGAGCAGAAUGAGCUUGGGCUGGGUAACAAAUACAGCUGGUGGCUUUACUUGCUACUGAGUUGUAAGUAAAGAGCGUGGACUCUAGAACAUGCAGGCUUCAGUCGUUGCUGUACCGUAGUUUUGGGCUUGCAGGCUCCAGAGCACAACUUCAGUCGUUGUGGCACACAUGGUUAGUUGUCCUGAGGCAUGCGGAUUCUAGGACCAGGGAUCAAACCGGUGUCCCCUACAAUGCAAAGUGGAUUCUUAAUCACCGGACCACCAGGGAAGUCCUCCUUUCUUUAAUUACUGGUUGGAUAUAGAAGAUUCAGUGGGGGAUUUGGAGGUCCUGGAGGAAGUGAAAUGCUAGAUGAAAAGAUCCCACUUUUGGAAUGAUUCUGCAGAGCACAUUUCCAUGCUGACUCACUUUCAGCUGUGGAUAUAUGAAAAAAUACAUAUUUAUUGGCCUAAGACACUGGGAUGUUGACAUUGUUUGAUACAGCAGUUAGCUUGUCUUGGAUCAACCAAGUUUGAACUUCAACUUUCAUGAAGUCACUGAGCCCUGGAUCUCAUUAAACUCAUCAGUUUUGCUAUGCUGUGAGGCAUCUUGGAGACACUUUCUGUAUUUCCAAGUACACCAGACAACUUUUAAAAUCAAAUUUCUAUUUCAAAAUUUAUGUUGCUUAAAGCAUGUGGUUAUGACAUUUAAUUUUAUGCUAUGUGAAGGGAAGCCCUUCCCUCUGAAAAGGGGCUACAGUUAUGACAUCUGACAGUGAUUCACAUGAAUUGUUACUAGAUGACUUUCAUUCAUCCUCUAAUUCAUUCAUGUGAGAAACAUCUAUUGAAUACCUUAGGUACCAGAUAUUCUGAAAAGCACUGGUUAUGUAGCAGAGGUCUGUAAUUUUUUUUUCUGUGAAGGGCUAGGGGCAAAUAUUAGGCUGAGAGUCAUUAGCUCUCUGGUUAUAAUU
ensembl:lncRNA